GCCGGUGUAGCUCAGGGGUAGAGCGCUUGACUUGUAUCAUGAGGUUAUCAAGCGGUCCGUGGUUCAAUUCCGCGCGUCGGCA
rnacentral:tRNA from 1 species